rnacentral:lncRNA from 1 species
GGACUUUAGGGAAGCUUUGGUCAACCACUUGGUGUUGCACUGAAGUGGACUUAAAGAAAGGUCAAUGAUUGGAGAUCCUUCUAGAACCCGGUUACUAUUCUAGGACAGGUUGAACCAACCAAACUUCAGUGGGAGGGUACUUACCUAUGGAACUCAUGCAAGCUUUAAAAACCUAGGAAUGAUGGUUGUGUGAAUUGCUUGUGCUUGUUAUUUACAUAACAUACAAAACAUCAUAACAUACAUAACAUCAUCAUAACAUCAUGGCAUUGUACUAACAUUUCGAGGACUUAGGGAUUUAACUUUUCUCUAGUUCGUAAAAAAAAAAAAAAAAAAAAAAAAAAAAAAAAAAAA